AGUCAAAUUGCUGGGUCAUAUGGUAAUGCUAUGUUUAACUUUUGAGCAACUGCCAAACUAUUUUCCAUAACAGCUGCACUAUUGUACAUUCUCAGCAGCAGU
rnacentral:pre_miRNA from 1 species